GUGGCGAACGGGUGAGUAUACAUCGGAACGUGCCCAGUAGUGGGGGAUAGCCCGGCGAAAGCCGGAUUAUACCGCAUACGACCUACGGGUGAAGCGGGGAUCGCAGACCUCGCGCUAUUGGAGCGGCGAUGUCAGAUACUAGUUGGUGGGGUAAAGCUACCAGCGACGAUCUGUACUGGUCUGAAGGACGACCAGCCACACUGGGACUGAGACACGGCCAGACUCCUACGGGGAGGCAGCAGUGGGGAAUUUUGGACAAUGGGGGCAACCCUGAUCCAGCCAUGCCGCGUGCGGGAAGAAGGCCUUCGGGUUGUAAACCGCUUUUGUCAGGGAAGAAACGGUCUGCGCUAAUACCGCGGACUAAUGACGGUACCUGAAGAAUAAGCACCGGCUAACUACGUGCCAGCAGCCGCGGUAAUACGUAGGUGCGAGCGUUAAUCGGAAUUACUGGGCGUAAAGCGUGCGCAGGCGGUUGGGUAAGUCAGAUGUGAAAUCCCCGGGCUCAACCUGGGAACUGCAUUUGAGACUGCCCAGCUGGAGUUUGGCAAGGGGGGUGGAAUUCCACGUGUAGCAGUGAAAUGCGUAAGAUGUGGAGGAACA
rnacentral:rRNA from 1 species